rnacentral:rRNA from 1 species
GGUGAACGCUGGCGGUAGGCCUAACACAUGCAAGUCGAACGGCAGCACAGUAAGAGCUUGCUCUUACGGGUGGCGAGUGGCGGACGGGUGAGGAAUACAUCGGAAUCUACUUUUUCGUGGGGGAUAACGUAGGGAAACUUACGCUAAUACCGCAUACGACCUACGGGUGAAAGCAGGGGAUCUUCGGACCUUGCGCGAUUGAAUGAGCCGAUGUCGGAUUAGCUAGUUGGCGGGGUAAAGGCCCACCAAGGCGACGAUCCGUAGCUGGUCUGAGAGGAUGAUCAGCCACACUGGAACUGAGACACGGUCCAGACUCCUACGGGAGGCAGCAGUGGGGAAUAUUGGACAAUGGGCGCAAGCCUGAUCCAGCCAUACCGCGUGGGUGAAGGAGGCCUUCGGGUUGUAAAGCCCUUUUGUUGGGAAAGAAAAGCAGCAGGUUAAUACCCCGCUGUUCUGACGGUACCCAAAGAAUAAGCACCGGCUAACUUCGUG